UACGGAGGGUCCGAGCGUUAUCCGGAUUUAUUGGGUUUAAAGGGUGCGCAGGUUGUUUGAUAAGUCAGUGGUGAAAGUCUGUCGCUUAACGGUAGGAUUGCCAUUGAUACUGUUAGACUUGAAUAUGGAUGAGGUAGGCGGAAUGUGUAGUGUAGCGGUGAAAUGCAUAGAUAUUACACAGAACACCGAUUGCGAAGGCAGCUUACUAAUCCAUCAUUGACGCUGAGGCACGAAAGCGUGGGGGUCAAACAGGAUUAGA
rnacentral:rRNA from 1 species